AUUUGUGAGCUGUGCUGAAAUAUCAGGGGGCUGAGGCUGAAUCUUCACUCCACCAAUCAAAUCAUUUGAGUUCCCCUUGACACUGGACACAUGGAACAUUUCUAUUCCUCUUCUGCUCAGCUCACAUCCACCUGAGGACACAUUCACCUGACUUUCUGAAGCAGACAUCUUGUUUUUUCAUCACUUGGCUUCAAACUGAGAGGCCCAGUCUCCUGGAGAUGGCAGACUUGCCUCGCAGACGCUAUGGCAACUUCCCACAAAGGCGAGCCACCAUGUUACCAUGGGUAGCCAAGUGUAGGGUAAGGCUGGCACUGGAGGCCAUGCCAUCUGAGACUGGUCCAAAUCUGGCAACCACAGCAGAGGAACCAACCCCCCGGGCAGAACAUGUGAAUAUAGAUGUCAGCAUGACUGGAUUCUGUGAGGUGGAAAAGGAGCCAAACCAGUCUUAUGAGAGAAAAACAAAAGCAACAUCUCCGUCAUCUGAAAAAUGGGAAAGGCCUCCAGACAAAAGUGUUAAAGCUUUAUUGA